rnacentral:lncRNA from 1 species
CCGCGCUGCGCCAGCACCACCUGCGGAGCUGCGGUGCCCACGCCGUGCCGCGACCCCGCCGCCCCUGCUCCCUCCACACGCGGGCAAACAAAACAAGUUGCCGGUCGCUGCCGCCGGAGGGGGCCGGGCGGGUCACUCACCCUCAUCCUGCUCAGCGGGCUUGGGUCGUCCGGCCGCGGGGUCAGGGAAGACCAGAGGACCACUAGCCCCAGGAAGCUUCCCACCACCAGCAAACUGCGUGGUGAAUUUGUAACCGAAAGGCCCAGGUGAGAUGUGCAAAUAUCACUGGAUUGGAGGAGCUCACUUGGAAAGCCAGUAUUCCUCCUGAGCUAAUGAAAAGAAAGGCUGUCGUCUUAUGCCAAAAGCAAUACCAACCUUGUUCACGGGCUGAGAUCUAGAGUGUGUAAUUCACGAAGUAUGAAUCUGCUGGGUAAUGUGAUAUGAAAAGCGAAUGCACCAUUUCUUGGUGAUGAUUCAGGUCAGCGUUGGGACCCAGGAAUCUCCUGUUAAUCAGUACCCUGGUGAUUUUGAUCCAGAGACGGGGUCUAUUAUCUGGUCCUGUUGUCAAGGCUGGUCUCAAACUCCUGGCCUCCAGCGAUCCUCCCUUUUUGGCCUCCCAAGAUGCUGGUAUUACAGGCAUGAGCCACCAUGGUCCACCCGGACUCCUUUUCAUAGGAGACAGUUCCCUAGGCAGAGACUGGGCUUGAAACAGACAGGCUAGCUUCAUGCGUGAUAUGCGUAGAAUUCCUGCAGGAUCGCAUGCCCACCUAGAGAACCAUUCCCUGAGGCCAAGUAUACAGUGGAUUCUGA